CAUUCUACACAUUGUCUCAUCUUAUACUUUGUAUCUCACGCUCCAGGAACAUCAAGAUGGUUUCUGGCAGUUAUCUCCUGGCCGUCAUCUUCAUUUCUAUUCAGGGAUCCUGUGGAGAGAUUGUGAUGACCCAGACUCCGGAUUAUACCUCUGUGUCCCCAGGAGACACAGUCACCAUGUCAUGUAAAGCCGGUUCUGGUAUAGGCAACGACUUACACUGGUACCAACAGAAAUCAGGAGAACGGCCAAAUCUUCUUAUCUCUUAUGCAAGCAGCAGAUACACAGGAGUCCCAGACCGGUUCACUGGAUCUGGAUAUAGAACAGAUUUCACUCUGACAAUCAGAGGAGUGACAGAAGACGAUGCAGGACAUUAUUACUGUCAGCACUCCUCUCACACAGUGAUACAGAGCCGUACAAAAACCUCCUUCCUCCUCCCCCAUUAUAUCUCUAUAAUAAAGCUUCAUACACAGAAGAAGAAGAAGAAAACCGUCAGAGCGAUCAGUGGUUUAUAA